AUUAAUAUGUUGUGUAUUUGUACCACAGUAAUUAAAUAUUCAAGUACGACAGCUUGGCUAUCUAUUCCCGACAAAUGUUUUAGCUUAGCAUAAGUUCCCACUAAAUAAAUAUUUCCCACUCUAUAAGGGCCAAAAAAUCACCACAAAUAUGUACGCGACCUUUACCGAAGCGGCCAUCAAUGCUGUUAACCCUUGCCCGUCGCAGACGUCCACAUUCACACCAGUUAGAAACAGCAGAUCUUGCACGAGCCUCAUAUUACCAUGUGCUGCUGCAGUUACGAAAGAUAUUGCUUCAGUUUCUUUUCGCCCGGGUGCUGCAAAGUGUGCUAUCCUGUCCACGGAAUUCACCAAAUCAACAUCGUAUUCCAUUUUACCACACAACGGGUGCAUUUUUGUGAUAAACUUGUGCAUCUCCAUUAAGAUAUCGCUGUUGUUUGCAAAUGUUUCUGUUUCUGGAAUAUCCUUGCGCAUCGUGCUGUAUUUUAGAUGUUUCGCAAAUUCCAAGUCCAUGAUUUCCCGGAAUUCUACUAACGCCACUUCUCCAAGUGGCACAGCGGUAAGCUGAAACUGCUUGUCGGCCAUCAGGACAUUCCAGACUGCUGCUAACUGAUCACCAGUAGCCGCAUUUGUGCUUUGGAGCAACUGCUCUCGUGGAUUCCAGGUUAACGGAACGACGAACGGACAGUUGGCCAUAAUUUCAGUAAGCAAGGGAAUUUUUGGGAUCGCCAUGUUUUUCGGGACCGGUUUGGCGAUUCUGCUUUUGAAGAAUGACGUUGCUGCGUACUGUGCGUCCAAUGAAUCAGACAAUUCAACCGUACUGCUGCUGCAAGAAGAAACCCAACGAGUUGCCGCAUGGGCUCCUAUGGAAUUCCAGUUCGGCCAAAAGAAAUGUUGUGACUGGAGAGAAUUCGCUUGUGCAGGAUGGUCAUCGCAUCCCAAUGUCACUCUGCCGUUUUUCUUUGAGAUCACUCGCAACAAUGUCAGCAUUCAGCACGGGAAUUUUUACUUAUGCGGCGACUGUCUGGCAGUCCUCCGCGAUACCACGUUGGAAUUGUUCAAUCAUCAGGGCAAAUUAAUAUGGCGUUCGGGCAAGGAAAAAAAAACCACAAGGAAAACAGUUCUGACGUGUUGUAGGUUUUGACCAUCGCACUUUGUAGACUGUCAGCUGUUUAUUUU